AGCGUAUAUUAAAGUUGUUGCAGUUAAAAAGCUCGUAGUUGAAUUUCGGGAUCAAUACGUCGGUCGUGCUUCGGUACGUACUGGCGUCAUUGAUUUCUCCCUUCUGACGAACCAUGAUGUCAUUAACUUGGUGUCUUGGGAAAUCAGGACUGUUACUUUGAAAAAAUUAGAGUGUUUAAAGCAGGCUCACGCUUGAAUACAUUAGCAUGGAAUAAUGAAAUAGGACGUUCGAUCCUAUUUUGUUGGUUUUAGGAUCAACGUAAUGAUUAAUAGGGAUAGUUGGGGGCAUUAGUAUUCAAUUGUCAGAGGUGAAAUUCUUGGAUUUAUUGAAGACUAACUACUGCGAAAGCAUUUGCCAAGGAUGUUUUCAUUAAUCAAGAACGAAAGUUAGGGGAUCGAAGACGAUCAGAUACCGUCGUAGUCUUAACCAUAAACUAUGCCGACUAGGGAUCGGAUGAUGUUAAUUUUUUAAUGACUCAUUC
rnacentral:rRNA from 1 species